rnacentral:rRNA from 1 species
CCUACGGGGGGCAGCAGUGGGGAAUAUUGCACAAUGGGGGAAACCCUGAUGCAGCGACGCCGCGUGAGUGAAGAAGUAAUUCGUUAUGUAAAGCUCUAUCAGCAGGGAAGAAAAUGACGGUACCUGAGUAAGAAGCCCCGGCUAACUACGUGCCAGCAGCCGCGGUAAUACGUAGGGGGCAAGCGUUAUCCGGAUUUACUGGGUGGAAAGGGAGCGUAGACGGCAGUGCAGGUCUGGAGUGAAAGGCGGGGGCUCAACCCCCGGACUGCUCUGGAAACUGUACGGCUGGAGUGCAGGAGAGGUAAGUGGAAUUCCUAGUGUAGCGGUGAAAUGCGUAGAUAUUAGGAGGAACACCAGUGGCGAAGGCGGCUUACUGGACUGUAACUGACGUUGAGGCUCGAAAGCGUGGGGAGCAAACAGGAUUAGAUACCCUUGUAGUC